rnacentral:lncRNA from 1 species
GUUGGAUCAGAUGACCCUCUACGGUCCCUUCCACCGUGACUGAUGCUGUCAAUUGGUGAUUCGGUGAAGAGGAACGAACUCGUGGUGACGGGAAGCCGCACUUUGCAUCAGUGAUGGACUCCAGAGGAGGCAGGAGCCGGAAUGUGGCAAAGAGCCCUGGGUGGGAUGCCGCGGCCACCGAAAAGGCAGAUGAAAUGAGAGCUACUCACCCUGUGCCAUACUGGAAGAAGUCUCCAUGACCUGGUCUAUAUUUUAGACAAUUUCAGUUACAUUGUACAGUGUUUAUGGUAACAUUGUCAAUAUUGUUGCUGUAAGAUUUACAACCCAAACAAAUAGUAGCUUGGAAGUUUUGAAAGGAUGAGUGCUUUAGUGAAUACUUUGAAGAGGGGAAACAUCUUUUUCCUGAUUACUCACUCCUUGUUUCAGAGUGCACAGUCCCUUGGGAUGUGGUGGUUUGUGAGUCAAUAAUGAGGAGCAUAAAGAAGACUUUUGCAAUUGUCAAACCUAGGAAAAGUUGACUAUGGUUUUGGUAUAUUUCCUUGUGAGUUAGCAGAAGACAAAGUUUUAAGUUUUAAAAUAUUCAAGUGACCUUCAUUUGCCCAGCAGGUCUUUAUUGUAACUAGACAAGGCAGGCAGUGUCUGUCUGAGUCUUGUGUAAAAACCAGAAAUGAUUAAAUUUAUGAUAAUUUUUUAGAGUUUCUGAUAAUAGAUUUUCUGGGAAUACAUCUUUGCCAAUUUUAUUUGCCUUUCAGUGGUAAUAUCUAUGAAAUGAAAUUGCAGAAAAAUCCAGAGUGUUGUACAAAUUUCCAACUCUAAACUUAAUGGUUUUGUUAAGUAUGUGAUUAUUCAUUACUCUUAUUGUUUUGCUGCCUUCUCCUAUUUCCCAUCUCAAGAGAAUAAUGCAGGCAAGGGAGGCAUUCCAAGCAUGAUACAUCAGAUUUGAACACUUCUUUGGAUUUGAUGGAUGCUCUGGUCUCCACUGCUUUAUUUGAAGGAAUUAUCUUUCAGUCUGAAUAAACCUAAAAGCAAAACUAUUCUAUUCCA